rnacentral:rRNA from 1 species
UUAAAAUUUAAACUAAAGUUAAACAUCUUCAAGACUGUUAUACGUAUCUGAAGCCGGGAACCUCAAUCACGAAAGUAACUUUAUAUAAACUGAACCCACGAAAGCUAUAACACAAACUGGGAUUAGAUACCCCACUAUGCCUAGCCAUAAACAUUGAUAGCACAAUACCCCGCUAUCCGCCAGGGAACUACGAGCAACAGCUUAAAACCCAAAGGACUUGGCGGUGCUUUAGACCCACCUAGAGGAGCCUGUUCUAAAACCGAUAACCCCCGUUCAACCUCACCCUUCCUUGUUUUCCCCGCCUAUAUACCGCCGUCGUCAGCUUACCCUGUGAGAGAUAAAUAGUAAGCUAAAUUGGUACAACCUAAAACGUCAGGUCGAGGUGUAGCAUAUGAAAGGGGAAGAAAUGGGCUACAUUCGCUACUUUAGCGAAUACAAAACAUGUACUGAAACGUACAUUUGAAGGAGGAUUUAGCAGUAAGUGGAAAAUAGAGCGUCCCCCUGAAACUGGCCCUGAAGCGCGCACACACCGCCCGUCACUCUCUCCAAAAUUAACGCCAAAUUAACUAAAACCUAAUUAAACAAAAAGGAGAGGCAAGUCGUAA